rnacentral:rRNA from 1 species
GUGGGGAAUAUUGGGCAAUGGGCGAAAGCCUGACCCAGCAACGCCGCGUGAAGGAAGAAGGCUUUCGGGUUGUAAACUUCUUUUGUCAGGGACGAAAAAAAUGACGGUACCUGACGAAUAAGCCACGGCUAACUACGUGCCAGCAGCCGCGGUAAUACGUAGGUGGCAAGCGUUAUCCGGAUUUACUGGGUGUAAAGGGCGUGUAGGCGGGAAAGCAAGUCAGAUGUGAAAACUAUGGGCUCAACCCAUAGCCUGCAUUUGAAACUGUUUUUCUUGAGUACUGGAAAGGCAGAUGGAAUUCCUAGUGUAGCGGUGAAAUGCGUAGAUAUUAGGAGGAACACCAGUGGCGAAGGCGAUCUGCUGGACAGCAACUGACGCUGAGGCGCGAAAGCGUGGGGAGCAAACAGGAUUAGAAACCCUUGUAGUCC